AGGAUAAACGCUGGCGGCGUGCCUAACACAUGCAAGUCGAACGUCCUACGCAAGUAGGGAGUGGCGGACGGGUGAGUAACACGUGGGCAAUCUACCUUUCGGUGAGGAAUACCGGCGAGAAAUCGCCGACAAUACCGCAUACGCUUCGCAAGAAGCAAAGUCGCAAGACGCCGAAGGAGGAGCCUGCGCCCGAUUAGCUCGUUGGUGGAGUAAUGGUCUACCAAGGCGACGAUCGGUAGCUGGUCUGAGAGGAUGAUCAGCCACACUGGGAUUGAGAACGGCCCAGACUCCUACGGGGGGCAGCAGUGAGGAAUUUUCGUCAAUGGGGGAAACCCUGAACGAGCAACGCCGCGUGCAGGAAGACACUUUUCGGAGCGUAAACUGCUUUUCUCGGGGACGAGUAAGGACGGUACCCGAGGAAUCACGCCCCGGCUAACUACGUGCCAGCAGCCGC
rnacentral:rRNA from 1 species